AUAUAAGGAUAGUUUUCAUAAUUGCAGGAUUUUUGUUGUUGUUUUUUUUUGUUUGUUUGUUUUUUUAAUCUUUUUGUCCAUGACUGCAGCACACAGAAGUUUCUGGGUCAGGAAUCAAAUUCGCACCACAGCACUUAUGGCAACACCGGAUCCUUAACUAUGAGCAAGGCCAAGGAUCAAACCCACAUCCUCAUGGAUCCUAGUCGGGUUCAUUAUUCUUUUUUAAAAUGAGAUAAUUCACAAACCAUAACUUUUCAUAUACAUGAAUUCUUAUUUUUAAGUAACCCAAAUUAUUUAAAAUUAUACUUCCAGUAUAUUUCCAGACAUGGUUUGGGUUACUUACAUAGUUUUGUGUACAUGUAACUAUUUCAUUCUUAUAUAUAGUUUUGUAAUUCACUUGUUUUUUCUUAAUACUAUUUCUUAGUCAUCCUCUCCACAUAGAACAAAGUGAACUGCCUCAGUAUUUCUUCCUUGAAUAGUUUUUCAUGAUUCUGCCAUGGUUUACUUCCUCGUAAAGGAUAUUUAAGUUACCCUCUGUUUUUCUAAUUGGAAAAUUCUUUUCUGAGCUUUAGUGAGUUUGCAGUGCUGAUGCCCCUUAAGUAGGAUUAGAACAUGUUGAACAACCAAACUGGAAAAGAGUAACUGGCUGCUAGUAAUAUAGGGAAUUAAUGUUUAAUUAGCUAACAGGCCAUGGAGCCUAACCCAAUCAUAAUCUUUUCUCACCCUAAGGCACAUGAAGAUCCCAUGUAUGACAUCAUACGAGAGAAUAAAAGACAUGAAAAGGAUAUAAGGUGAGGUUGUCCUGAUGAUAACAAUAUGCUCUUAAAGUCUGAAAUUAUGUACAUUUGGAAACAGCCAUGCCAGUAUUAGAUAAAUGGUUUAAUACACAUGGUACUUUAAUUGUGAAAUACGUGGAAGAUGGGACUAAUCCCUGAAAAGGCCAGUGUGUGGGGAAUGAGCAGUCCAGCCUGUUCUACUUGGGUUAACUUAAAGCAGUGGGCUUAGCCCAGCCCGCUCAUGCCACUGAUAGUUGAUGUUGGCAGCCCACAUGGUGGUAUCUAGUUCUGCUAUAUGAUUUUUUUUUAUGGCUGCAUCCACCACAUAUGAAAGUUCCUGGGCUAAGGACUGAAUCCGAGCCACAGUUGUGGCAAUGCCAGAUCCUUUAACCCACAGGGAACAAACCCACGGCUCUGCAACGACCUGAGCCACCGCAGUCAGACUCCUAACUCACUGUACCACAGCAGAAACUCCUCUGCUGUAUGAUUGAUUCGCUUUCAUAUGUUUAGUUUAUCUUCUGCAGUGUCUUUAAGGAUCUGUACUGUUGUACACAUAAAUAAAGAUAGGGUGAAAAAACAUGAGGUUUUUUCCUUUCCUCAAAUUAGUGAUAUCGAAUUAAAAUUGCUAGGGGGUAGAUUACCUCGAAUGAAUUUGAGCAGUGGGAAAAUGAUUUAGGAAAGUAUGCAUCUGUUAUAAUAGUAAAGACUAUAGAAACAUGCAGAAAUAUUUAGGACCGUGAAAAUAAUGCAAAAUAGCUGUUAUACUGGUUAUGCUCAUGUAAAAUAGGUGUGGAUAUAGAAAAGUAUGGGGGGAACACACAAAAAUAAAAAUAAAUACUGUCUUUAAUAAGGAGAUUAUUUUUGACAUUUUUCACCCUCACUACUGUCCUUAUAUUUUUAUUUGAAUUUUUUUUAAGUUGAAUGUGGUUCUUUGGUCAAUCUUGUGUGUUUAGGAUACAACAGUUAAAACAGUU
rnacentral:lncRNA from 1 species